UUAACGUAAAUCAUUUAUUUAUUUUGCAGUGACAGAUGCGGCUCAUAAUAAACUCAUAAUUUUUCAAAUUCUUCUCAUCUAAUCUUCCAUGGUACUAUUAUGACGUCCAAUUUUCAUGAAACAGCAAAAAACAGGAGAAUCAAAGGAGAAGAUGAAUUACUAUCUACCAUGUAUUUAACAAGUUCAAGAAGAUCGAUGUUAUCAAUCUAAACGAAGAACGUGAUGGCAAGCAGAUUUGUGAUAACGGCGUCAUUUCGUCGGCGGCUACAGGGUAGGAGCAGAAAACUCACAUCUGCAUUCAAGAGAAAACUCACAUCUGAUUCAAUAGAAUUUAUGAUUCAUAGUCAACUACUAGAUAUAUUUGCCUCCAUCUGCGUCAUUUCCGCGCUAUAUGAAAAAAAGAAAAUAUUUGAAAUUUUUCAAGGUGAAGAAAGAAACUGUGAAGCAUUCCAUAUAAAAUGUCUAGGUCAGGAUGAAUAAUUUGCGAGCUUUUGGAGUUGCAAGAAAUUUCUAGAUAGGAGUUUGCGGAACAGGUGUCUCGGCGACGAUAUCGUAAAUCGCCGACGACGGUAUCGUCGAACGGCCAAAAUAAAGUCACGAGCUUUAAGAACGUCAAGCAAGCGAACGCAAGAGAACAUCUUCACUACUGACGCAACUCUCAACCCGACAACAGAUUGCCUGCCAUGCCGCCAUUGCAUACAGAUGAUCCAUUAAUGUAACCGGCACCGAUAGCGCUUUAUCCGGCGACUCAUCCUACAGGUGCCCCCAAAGAUAUUCGAUGUGCCCACCAGUCGCGUAUUUUCAGCUUUCUUGGAGCGUCUCCAGGUGCGAGGGAGGAGAAAGAGAUAUACGUGACGUCGUCGAUGGGAGACGCGGAGGAGAGAUCUUGAUGGAUAAAUCGCGACUGGUAACCACGUGCAACUUUCAUAAAAGACAGCGGAAGAAUCUACGAUUGCAAAGAAACGAUACUCGCUCGAGAGUUACACGUUGAGGUCAAAGAUCACACCUGAAAAAUUUUGGUAAUUUUUCGCUCGAAAAAAAUGGAUAAGUAUAGGGGCGGAUUUUUUGCGCCAAUGACGGGAGCGCUGAGUCAUUAAGACUGAUUCCAAGGGACGGCAGGAUCGUUUAGGGAGAAAAUGCGUGACUGUAUCGUGUGUCGUCCCGUGUGUAAAGUAUCCGGAUACGCUGGGUUCCUCCUAUAAAUCAGCGACCUCCCGCGUGCUCCCUCUUUUCCUCGUGUCGGUGGUAACAAGUACUUUCCGUGUGCCGGAAAAAAGGGAAAAGCACGCGAUCGCUAUUUAAAAGGCUCGUAGGUGGGCGGUUUUUUAGCAGUAGUCGGGAUAUGUAUAAAGGCGAGCGCAGGGAGAUAGAGAAGGGGAGAGCCAGAGAGAGAGAAAGAGAGAGGGCUUCGACUUCGCCGUUCCGCCUCGGCAUGGGGUUGCCAUGCUAUUUUCAGGCUCUGAUGGCUCGAUGCAGCUGUCGUGUUCUUCGGGUAAACCACCUCUCUUCUAUUCCACGGCCAUUCGCAAGGCGCGACAAGGUAAGCUAAGAAGAUCGGAAUCCAGAAUCUCGCGACGCGAGAGACGCACAUCUUCCCCUUGGUGAAUUUUUCUCAAAGUCAGACGUUCGCCAAUUUUGCUUCUCGGUAACCAAGGCAAGCAGAGUGACGCAUGUCUUAUCUUUGUCAAAAUUGUGUUGGAAUUUUGUGUUGCAUUGACAGAAAGAGAAUUUGAAUCGAAUUAUAAUAUGAAAAUUGUGCUUCAUUUCAAAAAAUUAUUCUCCAUUUCUUUGUGUCUGUAUAAGAAAGAAAUAAGAAAAAAAUCUUUAUAUAAAAUAAUGUGUACUAACAUUCAAAAUCUCAAUACGGUUAAAAAAUGAAUUUUUAUUUAAAUAUUGUAAAUACAUGUUUUAUAACUUUGUAGCUUUAAAAAUUUGCUAAAAAUACAAAAAUCCUAUUUAUGUUAUAAGGAGAUUUGCACAAUUUAUUAUUGCAAUCUGAUUAUGAGUAGCCAUUGGUGUCUGUAUCGAAUGUUAAUAUUAUAUGAUUACUAAAAGUUCUGCGCCGUAGACGAUCAUAAACAUUUAUGGCAACGCAAACACCAUGAAAUAAUAACCAAAGUCUUACGAUUUCCAGGAAUGUUCGGUGAACACUUUUGCCUAGAUUUUGCAAAUUGGAAGAAUCUAUAAGAAUUGUCGGAUUCCAAAAAUAGCAACAAACGAUGAUGAGGACACACGGUACUCUUCCACGAAAAGACGUGUCGGCGAGAAAGUAGGAAUAAAAGUUCUCGUGACUCUCUUCCGCGGAAGAGCUUCUACUGGAGAAUGAGGGAUGAAGACGAAGCCGAAGAUAAGUCGCGAAGACUUGGCAGGACGCCAAAUGACAGAUUUUCAGCCGUCUACGUGUACUCUUUCAACUUACCCGUCUGCGCUUUCCUUCGGCUCCCCUAUGCAUCCUCUAGGAUCUAGGGUGCAAUGACAUCGGGCGGCGCAAUUUAAUUCUCUAUUCAUGGUCCGUGAAUCAUUAUGCAAGAAUAUGCUUUACGUCUCGAUUAUUUCUCAGCAUUGUCGUUAUUUUUAAGUCUGCAAGAGAAAACAAUGAUGUAAAUUAGUGGAUGAAUGUAAGAAUAGAAGUGUGUAAAAAAGGGACAGGAAGAGAAUGCAAGAUAAUUAACCAGUUAUCUCAUUUUAAUGCUGAAAAAGACAAGAGAAGUAAGUUGAAUAAUAUUAAAAUAUAUAUAUAUAUAUAUAU